GGGGAAAAUUAAUGUGGAGGUCAGAGUGGAAGCAGAUGUGAGUGGGUCCAGCAGAAGGAAACAUGGCUGCCCAAAAUAUCCGAGUCCAUUGGCAAGUUUGGCAUGGCCCUAGCUGUGGCAGCAGGCGUGGUGAACUCUGCCUUACAUAAUGUGGACGCUGGGCGCAGGGCUGUCAUCUUGACCGAUUCCGUGGUGUUCAGACAUUGUGGUAGGAGGAGGGUACAGAAACCAAUGAUCUUGGCCUGCCGCUCUCGGCCAAGUAAUGAGCCCGUCAUCACCGGGAGCAAAGGUUUGCAGAACGUCAGGAUCACACUGCGCAGCGUCUUCCGGCCGGUCGCGAGCCCGCUCUCUCGCAUCUACACUAGCGUCGGAGAGGACUAUGAUGAGCGUGUGCUGCCAUCCAUCACCACAGAGAUCCUCAAGCCUGUGGUGGCUUGCUCUGAUGCCAGAGAACGGAUCACCCAGAGAGAGCUGGUCUCCAGGCAGGUGAGCGAUGACCUCACAGAGCGAGCAGCAACCUUUGGGCUCAUCCUGGAUGACGUGGCCCUCACAUACCUGACCUUCGGGAAGGAAUUCACAGAAGCAGUGGAAGCCAAACAGGUGGCUCAGCAGGAAGCAGAGAGGGCCAGAUUUGUGGUGGAAAAGGCUGAGCAGCAGCAGAAGGCGGCCAUCAUCCCUGCAGAGGGCGACUCCCUGGCCACGGCAGGUGAUGGCCUGAUUGAGCUGCGCGGAGGACUUUGCAUACCAGCUCUGCCGCCCACCGAACAUCACUUACCUGCCUUCAGGGCAGUCUGUGCUGCUCCAGCUGCCCAGCGAGGCCUGCCCUGCCUGUACUUCCUUGGGCCAACUAGACCCCAGCCCUUAAGAUUCUGAGCAGCAUC